AGCGAACGCUGGCGGCAUGCUUAACACAUGCAAGUCGCACGGGCGGGGGCAACCCGUCAGUGGCGGACGGGUGAGUAACGCGUAGGGAUCUAUCUCUGGGUGGGGGACAACCGUGGGAAACUACGGGCUAAUACCGCAUGACACCUGAGGGUUAAAGGCGCAAGCCGCCUGGAGAGGAACCUGCGUACGAUUAGCUAGUUGGUGGGGUAAAGGCCUACCAAGGCGACGAUCGUUAGCUGGCUGAGAGGAUGAUCAGCCACACUUGGGACUGAGACACGGCCCAAACUCCUACGAGAGGCAGCAGUGGGGAA
rnacentral:rRNA from 1 species